rnacentral:rRNA from 1 species
GGACGAACGCUGGCGGCGUGCUUAACCCAUGCAAGUCGAACGGAAAGGCCCCUUCGGGGGUCCUCGAGUGGCGAACGGGUUAGUAACACGUGAGUAACCUGCCCUUGACUUCGGGAUAACUUCAGGAAACUGGGGCUAAUACCGGAUAGGAAUCCUUGCUGCAUGGUGGGGGUUGGAAAGCUUCGGCGGUUUUGGAUGGACUCGCGGCUUAUCAGCUUGUUGGUGGGGUAGUGGCUUACCAAGGCUUUGACGGGUAGCCGGCCUGAGAGGGCGACCGGCCACAUUGGGACUGAGAUAAGGCCCAGACUCCUAAGGGAGGCAGCAGUGGGGAAUAUUGAACAAUGGGCGGAGGCCUGAUGCAGCAACGCCGCGUGCGGGAUGACGGCCUUCGGGUUGUAAACCGCAUUCAGCAGGGGCGAAGCUUGUGGUGACGGUACCUGCAGAAGAAGCACCGGCUAACUACGUG